AACGAACGCUGGCGGCAUGCCUAACACAUGCAAGUCGAACGAGACCUUCGGGUCUAUUGGCGCACGGGUGCGUACCACGGGGUAACCUGCCCUUAGGUUCGCAAUAACUCCCCGAAAGAGAUGCUCAUACCGGAUGAUGUCUUCGGACCAAAGAUUUAUCGCCAUUGGAUGGGCGCGCGUUGGUUUAGCUAGUUGGUAGUGGAAAAGCCUAGCAAGGAGACGAUCCAUGGCUGGUCUGAGAGGAUGAUCAGCCACACUGGGACUGAGACACGGCCCAGACUGCUACGGGAGGGAGCAGUGGAGAAUAUUGGAGAAUGGGGGAAAGCCUGGCCCAGCAAUGCCGGGGGAGUGAUGAAGGCCGUAGGGUUGUAAAUCCCUUUUACCCGGGACGAUAAUGACAGUACCGGGUGAAUAAGCACCGGCUAACUACGUG
rnacentral:rRNA from 1 species